rnacentral:rRNA from 1 species
CACCAGACUCCACGGGAGGCAGCAGUGGGGAAUAUUGCACAAUGGGGGAAACCCUGAUGCAGCGACGCCGCGUGAGUGAGGAAGUAUUUCGGUAUGUAAAGCUCUAUCAGCAGGGAAGAAAAUGACGGUACCUGACUAAGAAGCCCCGGCUAACUACGUGCCAGCAGCCGCGGUAAUACGUAGGGGGCAAGCGUUAUCCGGAUUUACUGGGCGUAAAGGGGGCGCAGACGGCGAUGCAAGCCAGGAGUGAAAGCCCGGGGCCCAACCCCGGGACUGCUCUUGGAACUGCGUGGCUGGAGUGCAGGAGGGGCAGGCGGAAUUCCUGGUGUAGCGGUGAAAUGCGUAGAUAUCAGGAGGAACACCAGUGGCGAAGGCGGCUUGCUGGACUGUAACUGACGUUGAGGCUCGAAAGCGUGGGGAGCAAACAGGAUUAGAUACCCCGGUA